rnacentral:rRNA from 1 species
CACGCCGUAAACGAUGAGUGCUAGAUGUUUCUGGUAUUGACCCCGGAGGCGUCGUAGCUAACGCGUUAAGCACUCCGCCUGGGGANCGCGAAGAACCUUACCUGGGUUGGAACCCUCCAGAAGUCCGCAGAGAUGUGGAUGUGCUCGCAAGAGAACUGGAUGUCCAGGUGC